rnacentral:rRNA from 1 species
AUGCAAGUCGAACGCGAAAGUGCCCUUCGGGGUGCGAGUAGAGUGGCGAACGGGUCCUUUACGCGUGGGGAACGUGCCUGGUAGUGGGGAAUAACCUUCCUAACGGAGGGCUAAUACCGCAUAUGAAGGUCGAGUCACCUGGCUUGAUCUUGAAAGGUGGCCUCUGUUUCAAGCUGCCGCUACCAGAUCGUCCCGCGUCCCAUUAGCUUGUUGGUGAGGUAACGGCUCACCAAGGCGACGAUGGGUAGCCGGCCUGAGAGGGUGUCCGGCCACACUGGGACUGAGAUACGGCCCAGACUCCUACGGGAGGCAGCAGUCGAGAGGCAUCGGCAAUGGGGGAAACCCUGACCGUGCGACGCCGCGUGGGUGAUGAAGGCUUUCGGGUCGUAAAACCCUGUCAAUUGGGGCGAAUGGCGGUGAACCAAUACUUCACCGUUUGACGGUACCAAUAGAGGAAGCUCCGGCUAACUCCGUGCCAGCAGCCGCGGUAAUACGGGGGGAGCGAACGUUGUUCGGAUUCACUGGGCGUAAAGGGGGUGUAGGCGGUCCAGUAAGUGAGAAGUGAAAUCCUUCGGCUCAACCGAAGACUUGCUUUUCAUACUGCUGGGCUAGAGUCCGGGAGGGGAGACGGGAAUUCCUGGUGUAGCGGUGAAAUGCGCAGAUAUCAGGAGGAACACCGGUGGCGAAGGCGCGUCUCUGGACCGGUACUGACGCUGAGACCCGAAAGCGUGGGGAGCAAACAGGAUUAGAUACCCUGGUAGUCCACGCCGUANACGAUGGGCACUAGGUGUGGGAGGUAUCGACCCCUUCCGUGCCGCAGUUAACGCAUUAAGUGCCCCGCCUGGGGGAGUACGGCCGCAAGGCUGAAACUCAAAGGAAAUGAC